rnacentral:rRNA from 1 species
UKAACGACUCUCGGCAACGGAUAUCUCGGCUCUCGCAUCGAUGAAGAACGUAGCGAAAUGCGAUACUUGGUGUGAAUUGCAGAAUCUCGUGAACCAUCGAGUCUUUGAACGCAAGUUGCGCCCGAAGCCUUCUGGCUGAGGGCACGCCUGCCUGGGCGUCACGCA